CAGUUACACUCCAUGGCAGCUUGCUCAAGAUGUGAUGUGGAUUGAUAGAGGCACUGACAGCGGGUCUUCCAUAUCUUUUAAGGAUAUCUGAAACCAGAAGCUAGCAGGACUUCGCCUCAAACUUCAUUUUGUUUUUUUUUGUUUUUUGUUUUGACUAAUUUGAUCUCAUUUCGAUCAAAAGAAGUCUAAUAUAUAAUUUCUUUCCUUUUUUUGGGUAAAAAUAAAUUCUUUUAUUUUAGUGCCGCGGAUUGUAAUUAGGCUGCAUUGUAAUUAUUCUUUGUAUGCAUGGUUUUCUUUUUCUUCUGUGAGCCGCUCGGAAAUAAAAUAGGCCCUAAGAUUUGCUGGGCUCGUUGAUAUUUUUGGGCCUCCAGCCUACAUGCGGGCGGCGAAAUUCUAUAGCGAGGGUGUUAUAUAUGGACUUUUCAUAUGAAUUUUCAUA